rnacentral:rRNA from 1 species
CACGUAGGAGGCAAGCGUUAUCCGGAUUUACUGGGCGUAAAGCGCGUGUAGGCGGUUCGGUAAGUUGGAUGUGAAAUCUCCUGGCUCAACUAGGAGAGGUCGUUCAAUACUGCCAGACUAGAGGACGGUAGAGGAAGGUAGAAUUCCCGGUGUAGUGGUGAAAUGCGUAGAUAUCGGGAGGAAUACCAGUGGCGAAGGCGGCCUUCUGGGCCGUUCCUGACGCUCAGACGCGAAAGCGUGGGUAGCGAACGGGAUUAGAAACCCCGGUAGUCCAUGCUGUAAACGAUGCGGACUUGGUGUUGGUGGUGUAAAAACCAUCAGUGCCGAAGCUAACGCGUUAAGUCCGCCGCCUGGGGACUACGGUCGCAAGAUUAAA